rnacentral:RNase_P_RNA from 1 species
UGCAUGCAGAGGAAAGUCCGGGCACCACAGGACAGAGACGCUGGAUAACGUCCAGGAGCAGUAAUGCUACAGAUAGUGCAACAGAAAGUAUACCGCCGCAAGGUAAGGGUGAAAAGGUGGAGUAAGAGCCCACCGCGCAGGUAGUGAUACCUGUGGCAUGGUAAACCUCGUCUGGUGCAAGGCCAAGAAGUGACUGGGUUUGUCCGCCCGACAGUCACGGGUAGGCUGCUUGAGGCUAUGAGCAAUCAUAGUCCGAGAUAGAUGAUUACAUAAACAGAACUCGGCUUAUCAGAUGCCU